rnacentral:rRNA from 1 species
AGUUCUCUUCCCUGUUAUGUGAACCUGCGGAAGGAUCAUUAAUGAAUUCUCUAUGGAGUUGUGGCUGGCCUCUAGGGGCAUGCUUCUGUAGGUGAACUUGCGGAGGGAUCAUUACCGAGUUUACAACUCCCAAACCCAAUGUGAACGUUACCAAACUGUUGCCUCGGCGGGGUCACGCCCCGGGUGCGUCGCAGCCCCGGAACCAGGCGCCCGCCGGAGGAACCAACCAAACUCUUUCUGUAGUCCCCUCGCGGACGUAUUUCUUACAGCUCUGAGCAAAAAUUCAAAAUGAAUCAAAACUUUCAACAACGGAUCUCUUGGUUCUGGCAUCGAUGAAGAACGCAGCGAAAUGCGAUAAGUAAUGUGAAUUGCAGAAUUCAGUGAAUCAUCGAAUCUUUGAACGCACAUUGCGCCCGCCAGUAUUCUGGCGGGCAUGCCUGUCCGAGCGUCAUUUCAACCCUCGAACCCCUCCGGGGGAUCGGCGUUGGGGAUCGGGACCCCUCACACGGGUGCCGGCCCCGAAAUACAGUGGCGGUCUCGCCGCAGCCUCUCCUGCGCAGUAUUUGCACAACUCGCACCGGGAGCGCGGCGCGUCCACGUCCGUAAAACACCCAACUUUCUGAAAUGUUGACCUCGGAUCAGGUAGGAAUACCCGCUGAACUUAAGCAUAUCAAUAAGCGGAGAAA